AAGUUUAUCGUCUAAAUGGUUAAGACAUGAACUUUCUAAGUUUAAAAUGUAAGUUCAAAUCUUACUAAACUUA
rnacentral:tRNA from 1 species